rnacentral:rRNA from 1 species
CCUACGGGUGGCAGCAGUGGGGAAUAUUGCGCAAUGGGCGAAAGCCUGAAGCAGCGACGCCGCGUGAAGGAUGAAGGUUUUCGGAUCGUAAACCCCUGUUAGUAGGGAAGAUAAGGCCGUUAUCUAACGAAUAGUCACCGGCUAACUCCUUGCCAGCAGCCGCGGUAAUACGGAGGGUGCAAGCGUUACUCGGAAUCACUGGGCGGAAAGAGCGCGUAGGCGGGAUAGCAAGUCAGAGGUGAAAUCCCCGGGCUUAACCAUAGAACUGCAUUUGAAACUGUCAAUCUAGAGUAUGUGAGAGGGAGGUGGAAUUCCAGGUGUAGGGGUAAAAUCCGUAGAGAUCUAGAGGAACACGCAUGGCGAAGGCGACCUGCUAGAACAUAACUGACGCUGAGGCGCGAAAGCGUGGGGAGCAAACAGGAUUAGAUACCCUUGUAGUC